rnacentral:rRNA from 1 species
GACGAACGCUGGCGGCGUGCCUAAUACAUGCAAGUCGAACGCUUCUUUCCUCCCGAGUGCUUGCACUCAAUUGGAAAGAGGAGUGGCGGACGGGUGAGUAACACGUGGGUAACCUACCCAUCAGAGGGGGAUAACACUUGGAAACAGGUGCUAAUACCGCAUAACAGUUUAUGCCGCAUGGCAUAAGAGUGAAAGGCGCUUUCGGGUGUCGCUGAUGGAUGGACCCGCGGUGCAUUAGCUAGUUGGUGAGGUAACGGCUCACCAAGGCCACGAUGCAUAGCCGACCUGAGAGGGUGAUCGGCCACACUGGAACUGAGACACGGCCCAGACUCCUACGGGAGGCAGCAGUAGGGAAUCUUCGGCAAUGGGCGAAAGUCUGACCGAGCAACGCCGCGUGAGUGAAGAAGGUUUUCGGAUCGUAAAACUCUGUUGUUAGGGAAGAACAAGGACGUUAGUAACUGAACGUCCCCUGACGGUAUCUAACCAGAAAGCCACGGCUAACUACGUG